AACCCUCAAAAAUCCUCUUCUUUGAGGAUUUUUGGACUUGGAGGUUCAAUGCUCGCUUUUGCAUUCGAAAGCGAGCUCCUCUCAAAAGAAUCAGUGGGGUCUGCUUUGCUUGUCCUUGACGUGAUAAGAUGUUUCUACGUUUUGGAUUUGACAUGGUCCCUGCUCCUAAUCGUCUCACGGACAAUGAUGGUGCUUCGGUCGCCGCCGCCUACCUUGGCGGGGGAGGCUGAGCCCACAAAAA
rnacentral:misc_RNA from 1 species